ACGGAGGGUGCAAGCGUUAUUCGGAUUUAUUGGGCGUAAAGGGCGCGCAGGCGGUUUUUUAGGUCGGAUGUGAAAUCCCGUGGCUUAACUGCGGAAGUGCAUUCGAAACCGGAAGACUUGAGUAUGGGAGAGGGAAGCGGAAUUCCCGGUGUAGCGGUGAAAUGCGUAGAUAUCAGAAGGAACACCUGUGGCGCAAGCGGUUUCCCGGACCAAAACUGACUCUGAAGCACGAAAGCGCGGGGAUCAAACAG
rnacentral:rRNA from 1 species